AUUGAACGCUGGCGGCAGGCCUAACACAUGCAAGUCGAGCGGAUGAAGUGAGCUUGCUCCUGGAUUCAGCGGCGGACGGGUGAGUAAUGCCUAGGAAUCUGCCUGGUAGUGGGGGAUAACGUCCGGAAACGGGCGCUAAUACCGCAUACGUUCUGAGGGUGAAAGUUGGGGAUCUUCUGUCCUAACGCUAUCAGAUUAGCCUAGGUCGGAUCAGCUAGUUGGUGGGGUAAAGGCCUACCAAGGCGACGAUCCGUAACAGGCCUGAGAGGAUGCUCAGUAACACUGGAACUGGGAAACGGUCCAGACUCCUAGGGGAGGAGGCGGAGGGGAUUUUUGGACAAUGGGCGAAGGCUUGAUCCGGCAAGGCGGGGUGUGUGAGGAAGGUCUCCGGACGGAAAAGCACGUUAAGUUGGGAGGAAGGGCGGUAAGUUAAUAAGUUCAUGUUUUGACGUUAACAACAGAGUAAGCAACGGCUAACUUCGUG
rnacentral:rRNA from 1 species